rnacentral:rRNA from 1 species
AUAACACGAGAAGACCCUAUGGAGCUUUAAGACACUAAGCCAUAUCAAGUUAAAUACCCCCUAACAAGGGGCCAAACUUAUUGAAAUCAUUGGCCGUAUGUCUUCGGUUGGGGCGA